rnacentral:rRNA from 1 species
GACGAACGCUGGCGGCGUGCUUAACCCAUGCAAGUCGAACGAAGUGGCGAACGGGUGAGUAAUACGUGGGUAACCUGCCCUCCUUUUUGGGAUAAGCCUUGGAAACGGGGUCUAAUACCGAAUAAAGGGGGAUGGGCUCGCGGCCUAUCAGCUUGUUGGUGGGGUGAUGGCCUACCAAGGCGGUGACGGGUAGCAGGCCUGCGAGGGUGUCCGGCCCCAUUGGGACUGAGGUACGGGCCGGACUCCUGCGGUAGGCAGCAGUGGGGGAUAUUGCACAAUGGACGAAAGCAUGAUGCAGCGAGGGCGCGUGGUUGAUGAAGGCUUUCGGGUUGUAAACCUCUUUCGCUAUCGAAAGGGUAGGUGGAGAAGAAGCGCCGGCUAACUACGUGCCAGCCGCCGCGGUAAUAC